GCAUGCCUCAUACAUGCAAGUCGAACGAGGUCUUCGGACCUAGUGGCGCACGGGUGAGUAACAUGUGGGAAUCUACCUGAAGGUUCGGAAUAACUGCGGGAAACUGUAGCUAAUACCGGAUGUGUCUGCAAAGAGAAAGAUUUAUCGCCUUCAGAUGAGCCCGCACUAGAUUAGCUAGUUGGUGAGGUAAUUGCUCCACCAAGGCUACGAUCUAUAGCUGAUUUGAGAGGAUGAUCAGCCACACUGGGACUGAGACACGGCCCAGACUCCUACGGGAGGCAGCAGUAGGGAAUAUUGGACAAUGGGGGAAACCCUGAUCCAGCAAUGCCGCGUGAGUGAAGAAGGCCUUCGGGUUGUAAAGCUCUUUCAUCAAUGAUGAUAAUGACAUUAGUUGAAGAAGAAGCCCCGGCUAACUUCGUGCCAGCAGCCGCGGUAAUACGAAGGGGGCUAGCGUUGUUCGGAAUCACUGGGCGUAAAGCGUAUGUAGGCGGAUCAAAAAGUUAGAUGUGAAAUCCCUGGGCUCAACCCAGGAACUGCAUUUAAAACUAGUGAUCUAGAAUUUGGUAGGGGCCAGUAGAAUUUCCAGUGUAGAGGUGAAAUUCGUAGAUAUUGGAAAGAAUACCAGUGGCGAAGGCGACUGGCUGGGCCAUUUUUGACGCUGAGAUACGAAAGCGUGGGUAGCAAACAGGAUUAGAUACCCUGGUAGUCCACGCAGUAAACGAUGAGUGCUAGUCGCUGGGACAAUAGUUUCAGUGUCGAAGCUAACGCAUUAAGCACUCCGCCUGGGAAGUACGGUCGCAAGAUUAAAACUCAAAUAAAUUGACGGGGGCCCGCACAAGCGGUGGAGCAUGUGGUUUAAUUCGAAGCAACGCGAAGAACCUUACCAGACCUUGACAUGGUAUGUUUGAAUUACAGAAUCGUAAUUCUUCAGUUCGGCUGGCAUACACACAGGUGCUGCAUGGCUGUCGUCAGCUCGUGUCGUGAGAUGUUGGGUUAAGUCCCGCAACGAGCGCAACCCUCAUUUUUAGUUGCCAUCAGGUUAAGCUGGGCACUCUAAAAAAACUGCCGGUGAUAAGCUGGAGGAAGGCGGGGAUGACGUCAAGUCCUCAUGGCCCUUACGGUCUGGGCUACACACGUGCUACAAUGGUGGUGACAGUGGGCAGCAAUACUGCAAAGUAAAGCUAAUCCCAAAAAACCAUCUCAGUUCGGAUUGGACUCUGCAACUCGAGUCCAUGAAGUUGGAAUCGCUAGUAAUCGUAGAUCAGCGUGCUACGGUGAAUACGUUCUCGGGCCUUGUACACACCGCCCGUCACGCCAUGGGAGUUGGUUUUACCUUAAGCCGGUGCGCUAACCGCAAGGAAGCAGCCGUCCACGGUAGGGUCAGCGACUGGGGCGAAGUCGUAACAAGGUAACCGUAGGGGAACCUGCGGUUG
rnacentral:rRNA from 1 species